UACGUAGGCAGCGAGCGUUGUUCGGAGUUACUGGGCGUAAAGGGUGUGUAGGCGGUUGUUUAAGUUUGGUGUGAAAUCUCCCGGCUCAACUGGGAGGGUGCGCCGAAUACUGAAUGACUUGGAGUGCGGGAGAGGAGAGUGGAAUUCCUGGUGUAGCGGUGAAAUGCGUAGAGAUCCGGAGGAACCCCAGAGGCGAAGGCGGCGCCCUGGCUCGCAACUGACGCUCAGACACGACAGCAUGGGGAGCGAACGGG
rnacentral:rRNA from 1 species